rnacentral:rRNA from 1 species
UACGAAGGGGGCGAGCGUUGUUCGGAAUCACUGGGCGUAAAGCGUGCGUAGGCUGUCGUGAAAGUCAGGAGUGAAAGCCCCAGGCUUAACUUGGGAAUUGCUUUUGAUACUACACGACUGGAAUUCGGGAGAGGAUAGCGGAACUGUCAGUGUAGCAGUGAAAUGCGUAGAUAUUGACAGGAACACCAGUGGCGUAAGCGGCUAUCUGGUCCGACAUUGACGCUGAGGCGCGAAAGCGUGGGGAUCAAACAGG